rfam:Triticum aestivum genome assembly, contig: Triticum_aestivum_CS42_TGACv1_scaffold_577921_7BL
UUUCUACUCCCUCCGUCCAAAAAUACUUGUCAUCAAAAUGGAUAAAAAGAGAUGAAUCUAAAACUAGAAUACGUCUAGAUACAUUUCCUUUUAUCCAUUUUGAUGAUAAGUAUUCCGGACGGAGGGAGUAUUUG